rnacentral:rRNA from 1 species
AGCAGCCGCGGUAAUUCCAGCUCCAAUAGCGUAUAUUAAAGUUGUUGCAGUUAAAAAGCUCGUAGUUGAAUUUCGGGGUCAGUAGGUUGGUCGUGCCACAGGUAUGCACUGGUCUCACUGAUUCCUCCUUCCUGAUGAACCGUAAUGCCAUUAAUUUGGUGUUGCGGGGAGACUGGACUGUUACUUUGAAAAAAUUAGAGUGUUUAAAGCAGGCUAACGCUUGAAUACAUUAGCAUGGAAUAAUGAAAUAGGACGUUCGGUCUUAUUUUGUUGGUUUCUAAGAUUGACGUAAUGAUUAAUAGGGAUAGUUGGGGGCAUUAGUAUUCAAUUGUCAGAGGUGAAAUUCUUGGAUUUAUUGAAGACUAACUACUGCGAAAGCAUUUGCCAAGGAUGUUUUCAUUAAUCAAGAACGAAAGUUAGGGGAUCGAAGACGAUCAGAUACCGUCGUAGUCUUAACCAUAAACUAUGCCGACUAGGGAUCGGAUGAUGUUAAUUUUUUAAUGACUCA